GGGAAGAGUUACCCGGGCGAGGGAGGGGAACGGGCCGCAGGUUCAGUCCUAGCUGUGGUGUGGGUCUGGAAGAAUGCAAGAUCUUCUGGUCCCAGUUAGGAUGGUGAGCAGGGUCCUCGCUCCGAGGAAGAAUGCUGAGCGGGGUCUGGAAGAAUGCAGGGUGUCCUGGGCCAGUGGAGGAUGGUGAGCAAGGUCCUGGCUCUAGGGCGAGAUGAUGAGCUGGGUCAGAAGAGACGCGGGGUCCCUACUCCGGGGAUGAAUGCUGAACAGAAUAUGGAGGGACGCAGCGUCUCCACUCCGGGAUGGGAUGCUGAGCGGGGUGCCCAUUGCGGGGACGAGAUGCUGUACCAAGACAGGAGGGACACAGGGUCCCGUCGAGGGGGUCUGGUAUACCGAGCAGGAUGCUGAACGGGGUCUGCAGGAAGCAAGGUCAGAAUUCAGCAGAGAUCACGGUCGAGGUGGACUGAAGUAUCGAAGACUGGAUUGAAGAAGUAUCGAAGACGUGCAUGGGAGAACUAAGGGACCCGCAUAGGGGAGGGGUAUGUGAAAGGGGACCUUAGGGAGAAAGUCCUGACAGGAGAACACACUGGGUAAAACGGAAAGGCCUGGGCUGGAAGGCCUGCGCAGCAGCGGGAGGUAGAGUGCAUGAGUGCAUGACAAGGGACAGAAAGCCAGUGUGGAGGUACAUUUGCGAAUAAAGAGGGUGGAGAGACAACGGAGGUCUGACAGGAGAAGUAACAGUCUUUGCCCCCAGCCCCCCGUACACCGAGGAAGGAGGGGCUUAAAGAGGAAAAUAUGGGUUGGGGCAACCCUUCUCUGGCUUGUUCUGGAUGUUUUGUAGGCUGAGGCAACAGAGAAAGGCCCUUAGGCCACCCACAGACGACUUUUUAGGGACUGAUUUGUAGUUUUAUUGCUUCAAGUCACUCGGGCCAACCAAGGAGGAGGCCACCUCAUCCUUCCUGAAAAUACACAGGGAAUUUUCUGAGGGUCUGGUCAUAUAGCCAG
rnacentral:lncRNA from 1 species